GUGAAUCAUCAAAUUUUUGAACGCAAAUUGCACUCUCUUGUGAGAGUAUGCCUGUUUUUGGUUCAGCCUAAAAAAAAUCGACAUAGUCUCUUUUUCGCGGUGUCAUUCGUCGGAAAUUGGGUCAGCUUAAACCUUAGGGUUUUAAGCGGCUUAAAAGUUGCUUUACGAUUCUACGAAAAUGCCUAAUAGUUACUUGCACGUUUAAGGUAUCGAUUUUUAUUAGACGUGUCUGUUGCAGCGGAUGACGUCGA
rnacentral:misc_RNA from 1 species